GGGGAUUUAGCUCAGUGGCAUAAGCACCUGCCUUGCAAGCAGGAGGUCCUGAGUUUGAUCCCUG
rnacentral:tRNA from 1 species